GAUGAACGCUGGCGGCGUGCCUAAUACAUGCAAGUCGAACGGAUGCAGUAGCAAUAUUGUGUCAGUGGCGAACGGGUGAGUAACGCGUUGGUGACCUGCCCCAAAGAGAGGGAUAACAGACCGAAAGGUCUGCUAAUACCGCAUAAUAUCGGAGAGAUUAGAAGCUUUUCGAUGAAAGGUGAAAAUCGCUUUGGGAGGGGCCUGCGUCCCAUCAGCUAGUUGGUAAGGUAACGGCUUACCAAGGCGAUGACGGGUAGGGGACCUGAGAGGGUGACCCCCCACAAUGGAACUGAAACACGGUCCAUACACCUACGGGUGGCAGCAGUAGGGAUAUUAGAAAUGG
rnacentral:rRNA from 1 species